GACGUAGGGCGCGAGCGUUGUCCGGAUUUAUUGGGCGUAAAGAGCUCGUAGGCGGCUUGUCGCGUCGAAUGUGAAAACUUGGGGCUCAACUCCAAGCUUGCAUUCGAUACGGGCAGGCUAGAGUUCGGUAGGGGAGAUUGGAAUUCCUGGUGUAGCGGUGAAAUGCGCAGAUAUCAGGAGGAACACCGGUGGCGAAGGCGGGUCUCUGGGCCGAUACUGACGCUGAGGAGCGAAAGCGUGGGGAGCGAACAGG
rnacentral:rRNA from 1 species